GAUGAAGAACGUAGCGAAAUGCGAUACGUAAUGUGAAUUGCAAAUUCAGUGAAUCAUCGAGUCUUUGAACGCACAUUGCGCCCCCUGGUAUUCCGGGGGGCAUGCCUGUCCGAGCGUCAUUGCUGCCCUCAAGCACGGCUUGUGUGUUGGGCCCCGUCCUCCGAUCCCGGGGGACGGGCCCGAAAGGCAGCGGCGGCACCGCGUCCGGUCCUCGAGCGUAUGGGGCUUUGUCACCCGCUCUGUAGGCCCGGCCGGCGCUUGCCGACCAACCCAAAUUUUUAUCCAGGUUGACCUCGGAUCAGGUAGGGAUACCCGCUGAACUUAAGCAUAUCAAUAAGCGGAGGA
rnacentral:misc_RNA from 1 species